UACGUAGGUGGCAAGCGUUGUCCGGAUUUACUGGGCGUAAAGGAUGCGUAGGCGGACAUUUAAGUCAGAUGUGAAAUACCCGAGCUUAACUUGGGUGCUGCAUUUGAAACUGGGUGUCUAGAGUGCAGGAGAGGUAAGUGGAAUUCCUAGUGUAGCGGUGAAAUGCGUAGAGAUUAGGAAGAACACCAGUGGCGAAGGCGACUUACUGGACGAUUGUUGACGCUGAGGUGCGAAAGCGUGGGGAGCAAACAGG
rnacentral:rRNA from 1 species